AUGGCGUCUAGUAAUACAUAUUAGAGGUCCGGCCUGCCCGGUGGAAAUCUAAACGGCCGCGGUACUCUGACCGUGCUAAGGUAGCGCAAUCGCUCGCCUAUUAAUUGUAGGCUAGUAUGAAUGGCCAGACAAGAGCUUUACUGUCUCAAAGAGCCUAUAAUGAAAACUUACCCUUAGGUGUAGAGGCCUAAAUAAAAGAAAAAGACAAGAAGACCCUAUCGCGCUUUAAUACUACUUUUUUAUUAAAAACAUUUAUUUUUACUGGGAUAGUAAAGGAACAAAGAAAAUUUCCUUUCAACUAAAUAUUUACCUAGAGCCGUAAAAACUACUAUAGGUAAUAGCUACCGUAGGGAUAACAGACUAAUUUCCUUUGAGAGUUCACAUUGACAAGGAAGCUUGGCACCUCGAUGUUGGCUUAAGAUAACAGUUAUGAAGCGGACUCUNACACUGGUGGGUUGNUCCACCCCCUAAAAUCUUA
rnacentral:rRNA from 1 species